CGCGGGCCCGGUGUGGAAGAGUCGAGGCGGAGAAGACGGGCGCACAGUCCCUGAGUUAAGCCUCAGACCCCCCACACACACACACAAACACAAAGAGGCGGCCACUGCGCGUGAGGCCGAGACGCUGAAAGUCCGGAUUUAAAGUGCGAAAAGUAAGCCAUUGAAUCUGCCUGUCCAUGACGUACAAAGACACACUAUGAGCCAGUUUGAUCCAACAAGACCUUGCAUCAGCAUUGAGGAGUUCAGGAGUUGUCGGAGAAGAAAGAGGCUGAUUGAAGCGGGACAGAUGACAUGGAUAAAUCCUUCCACAGCCAGGAGCGCACCGACCCGUGUGCCACACUUCAAAUAAGACUGGAAGCUACACUGAUCUCACAGCUACACACCACAGACGCCUACACACUGGAGA